rnacentral:lncRNA from 1 species
AUCCUUUUUCCUGGAGGUGCUGAAUUCUUGCAAGUCAUAUGGAAGUUAUGCUAGUGAUCCACUCUUGUCAAAGAGUAACUGCUUCUCCAGAGCCAAGUUAUGACAUCAGUGGCACCUGCCAAAAUUUAUAGCACAGAUCAAAUGUGGUAUUCAGAGUGUGUACCCUGUAACUGUCUGGUCAUUCCUCGUGGUGUGUUGCGGACUUGAUAAAACGAGAUUGUGGGUUUGGGUUUUUUCCCCCUGCCUUUAAGCUAAUUCAUAAUAGUAGAUGUCAUCACUCCCAAAUAAAAAUGAGUGACGGAUGAAUAGAUUUCAUCAGUUAUUCCUGGCAGUUGGAGUUCUCUUGAAAAGGGGAACCCAGGGGUAAAACUGACAUGAUUCAGUAAUCACUCAAGAAAAUCAUACUUUAACAGAAGAGGAAGCUACUAUACAAUCAAAAAAAUGAGCAAGCAUACGAAUUUUAGAUGCCACAGGACGGGUGGUCAUGAUGCGGAAGAGCUGAAGAACUUCUGGGAAAAGGUCAUCCAAGAGCAAACUAAGCAACAAGAAGCUGAAGUGUCUAGGCUAAGCAAAAGUGCCCUGAACAAACUUCGCCAGGAAUGGACUCUGCGGCUGGAAGGUCGAGUAAGGCAGGUCCAGGCACACAUGAAAACACAGGAAGAACAAAUGACGCCACUCUCUAUCGAGGCUCUUCCCUCACCAGAUAAAACUGUUGCUUAAAGUUACUGUGCAGACACAGCAAGCCCUGGGCCCAAUUCUGACCUUCUGCAUGUGCCUGUAAACCAGCAGUUACACUGCUGAACAACCAAAAGAUCAGAUUCUGCCCAUUUUCCAAACUAUUUAUUAGAGCUACUAUUAAAGUACUAUUAAAAUUCAGUGCAAGAAUAAUGCCACAGGGGGAAAAUAAGCACAAAGGAAUAGAUGAGAAGCAGACAACUCUAAUUUUUCAUGAUACAUUAUUACUGUGAUGUACCAGGAUUUUCUUAUGUAACUGCAUUUCCAACUGACAACAACUCACAGCUAGGAAAGAGGUUGGCUUGCUUAAUAGGAAUAAUACAUUCAGAGAGCUGCAUGCAAAAUCGCACAUUUCCAUUUACACAGCUCACAGAGUCUGUCUUAAUGCAGACGUAAGAUGUACUGUCUGUCUUGAUGAGCCACAGCAGAGGGAAAUAAGGAUUAGCCUGAUCAGCCUGAUUAGCUGGCCAGGAGGAGAAACAAAUUCUUUAAUGGAAUGAGGGAAAAAAAAAAAAGAACUUUUCUGAUCAGUAUAUAAGAAAAUUUGCAGAUCUUAAUAAUUAAAUCAACAGAAAAAUUUGCUUUGACUUUCUUGGGCUAUGUAAAAAAAAGGCUACUGAGCCAGUAGUCUUUAUUAUGAGCCAGUCUGACAAACAUCAGAGUAGUAAGAGCAAGCUAGCGUGAGAGUUUGAAGUAGAAAGCAGUGAAUCAUAACAGCACAGAAAUGCUUUGCAAAGUAUCACUUGCCAUACCUGACAUGCACUAAUCCAAACAAUUCCUGCAUCUUCUCUUGGGUUAGGUGAAACAAAACACAGAGUAAUAGCAGUGUUCCCUAUUUACCUAUAUGUCUGUGUAUCUAAAUACUAAUCUUUUGGAUUAAAGCACUUAUUUGUUUUCUCUUCAAAUAAUCUUUGGUACACAAGAGAAGACUCAUAAGUCUAAGGAGCUGUUUUUCUCUAGCUAAAGACAGAAAUUUACUUUGAAUCUAUAUUUAUACUGAAGAAGUAGAUAGGAAUACAUUUGAUAUAUUUCAAAACAGAAGAAAUAUUAAACCGUUUUGACCUCACAGAAAUGCUUUUUUUAUCCAUUUAAAACAAUAUUUAAUGAAAACACAAAGUUUUACUGAAUGUUCUCACUUUUACGAAGUGAAAAUCUGACACAGAAAAAAAUAAGCUGUCACAAAAAUGUUGUUAUUCCACGAAGGAUUAAAACGAAUAAAAACUUAUAAAAUGUUGUUCUGUUAUUGAAA